GAGACAAAGGCUGGGCCAGGUGUCCAGGCGGGGGACAGGGCGAGCCCACGGGCGGUGCGGGGCAAAGCUCCGUGGAGCAAGAGGUGAGAACUCUGAGGCUGUGAAUCUGGGCCUUGCAGGAACCCUGGGGCCGGGCCGUGUCCUCCUGGGCAAGGUCCAGAGUCCCCGCCAGUGAGCCUGCAUAGACCGGGAGCCCUGGGGCCGGGCCCUGUCCUCCUGAGCAAGGUCCAGAGUCACCGCCAGUGAGCCUGCAUAGACCGGGAGCCCUGGGGCCGGGCCCUGUCCUCCUGGGCAAGGUCCAGAGUCACCGCCAGUGAGCCUGCAUAGACCGGGAGCCCGGGGGUCGGGCCCUGUCCUCCUGGGCAAGGUCCAGAGUCACCGCCAGUGAGCCUGCAUAGACCAGGAGCCCCGGGGCCAGGCCCUGUCCCCCUGUAAAGGUGCAGAGUUACCGCCAGUGAGACUGCAUAGACCAGGAACCCUGGGGCCGGGCCCUGUCCCCCUGUGCAAGGUCCAGAGUCACCGCCAGUGAGCCUGCAGCCACUAGGUGUCUCAAAUGUGUCCCAGCACACCUUGGCAACUGCCUCCUGAGCCUUUCAGCAGCGGGAAAUCCUCCCACAGGCAGGUAAUUACCUCUCCAGUCCUCAGGGCUCCUAGGGAUGGUUCCUGGCAUAUGCCUCUGGUAUUGUGCUCGG